rnacentral:rRNA from 1 species
UACGUAGGGCGCAAGCGUUAUCCGGAAUUAUUGGGCGUAAAGAGCUCGUAGGCGGUUUGUCGCGUCUGCCGUGAAAGUCCGGGGCUUAACCCCGGAUCUGCGGUGGGUACGGGCAGACUAGAGUGCAGUAGGGGAGACUGGAAUUCCUGGUGUAGCGGUGAAAUGCGCAGAUAUCAGGAGGAACACCGAUGGCGAAGGCAGGUCUCUGGGCUGUAACUGACGCUGAGGAGCGAAAGCAUGGGGAGCGAACAGGAUUAG